CCAGACUCCUACGGGAGGCAGCAGUGGGGAAUAUUGCACAAUGGGGGAAACCCUGAUGCAGCGACGCCGCGUGAGUGAGGAAGUAUUUCGGUAUGUAAAGCUCUGUCAGCAGGGAAGAAAGAAAUGACGGUACCUGACCAAGAAGCCCCGGCUAACUACGUGCCAGCAGCCGCGGUAAUACGUAGGGGGCAAGCGUUAUCCGGAAUCACUGGGUGUAAAGGGAGCGUAGACGGCUGUGCAAGCCUGAAGUGAAAGGCGGGGGCCCAACCCCUGGACUGCUUUGGAAACUGUGCAGCUAGAGUGCAGGAGAGGUAAGUGGAAUUCCUAGUGUAGCGGUGAAAUGCGUAGAUAUUAGGAGGAACACCAGUGGCGAAGGCGGCUUACUGGACUGUAACUGACGUUGAGGCUCGAAAGCGUGGGGAGCAAACAGGAUUAGAUCCCCCGGUAGC
rnacentral:rRNA from 1 species